UACAGGGGGUGCAAGCGUUGCUCGGAAUUACUGGGCGUAAAGCGUGCGCAGGCGGCUUGACAAGUCGGGGGUGAAAACCCGGGGCUCAACCCCGGAAUUGCCUCCGAAACUGUUAGGCUUGAAUACGAGAGAGGGUCGCGGAAUUCUUGGUGUAGAGGUGAAAUUCGUAGAUAUCAGGAAGAACACCAGUGGCGAAAGCGGCGACCUGGCUCGAUAUUGACGCUCAUGCACGAAAGCGUGGGGAGCAAACAGG
rnacentral:rRNA from 1 species